UCGGAUCUUCCCUCGUGAGCUUCUUCACCGUAUCCCCGCGAAGACCCUGGAUCAGUACUACAGCCGCGAUGCGUCUAACUGAAGGAGCCAACUUUGUACUUUUGUAUCCUGUGUGAUUGCCUUGGUAUGAGCUUGAUGAUACAUAUCAUGUGCUUUUGAAGGAGCCAACUUUGUACUUUUGUUUCCUGUGUGAUUGCCUUGGUAUGAGCUUGAUGAUACAUAUCAUGUGCUUUUCCUCCUUAAAUUAUGAAUCUCCUUCCAGCUCAAAAAUAAAAGCUUUCUCUAGUGAGUUCCCAGAACCAAGGCUCUCCGACGUUUGCAAGACAUUUAUAUUCUUUUAAGAACCAGUUAAGUCAUGGUGUAAUUUAUUGUGUUGAAUUAUCUGCACAUAUGGCAGGGUUUGGUUUCCUUUUUAAAUUCUACAACUGUAGGGUUUUCCAGGAAUUACAAAACCCAUGUUAUGUAUCGUGCUCAUUUAUUUGUUUUGUAUGUCGACUGUGAGCUAAUUCUUUGGUACUUAUCAUUUUUUAAUAAUGUUGCCUUGUUGUGAGGUUCUUGUUUAAUACUUGCAAGUGGCAGAUUAGCUUUUGUAAUGUUGCCUUGUUGUGAGGUUCUUGUUUAAUACUUGCAAGUGGCAGAUUAGCUUUUGGAGUUUAAAAUGAAUCCACU
rnacentral:lncRNA from 1 species